rnacentral:rRNA from 1 species
GAUGAACGCUGGCGGCGUGCCUAAUACAUGCAAGUCGAGCGAACAGACGAGGAGCUUGCUCCUCUUACGUUAGCGGCGGACGGGUGAGUAACACGUGGAUAACCUACCUAUAAGACUGGGAUAACUUCGGGAAACCGGAGCUAAUACCGGAUAAUAUAUUGAACCGCAUGGUUCAAUAGUGAAAGACGGUUUUGCUGUCACUUAUAGAUGGAUCCGCGCCGCAUUAGCUAGUUGGUAAGGUAACGGCUUACCAAGGCGACGAUGCGUAGCCGACCUGAGAGGGUGAUCGGCCACACUGGAACUGAGACACGGUCCAGACUCCUACGGGAGGCAGCAGUAGGGAAUCUUCCGCAAUGGGCGAAAGCCUGACGGAGCAACGCCGCGUGAGUGAUGAAGGUCUUCGGAUCGUAAAACUCUGUUAUUAGGGAAGAACAAAUGUGUAAGUAACUAUGCACGUAUUGACGGUACCUAAUCAGAAAGCCACGGCUAACUACGUG